rnacentral:lncRNA from 1 species
UCAUUUACUUUUUCGGAAAAAAAAAAAAACAAUAUAAAGGAAAGGACCGAACCCGGGUUAGUAUGACAUGAAUAUAGGGCAUACACCACUAAGCCAUUGAAACUUUCUUGGACAAAUAUACAAGCAACACUAAAUAUGUAAUCACAAACUCUUAUGUACAUUUACAAUAAUAUGGAUUCAACUUUCAAGACUUCGAUACUUUGUUUUGUAAAAAAAAUAAGUAAGUGACUAAGCUAAUAUAUUCUUUGAAAGUGUGAGAACAUUGACAAAUAUGAAAAAG